AUCGACAUCAGGAGCAAAGUUCCCUACAGAUACUCAACCUAUCCAAUAUGUUGCAUUGUCCCGCUUGUGGCUGGUCAAAACAAACAAGUUACCAAGGCUUGAGAAUUCACCAAGGAAAGAAGGGUUGUACACCAAAGGGAAUGAGGAUCCCUGAAAGAGUAUAUUACGCAGUGACACACAUGAUGGAAUUGGAACAUGAACGAGAGAUCCAACAAAUGAGACAAGAACGAGAGAGAGAACGAGAGAGAGAACGAGAGAGAGAACGAGAGAGAGAACAAGAGAGACAAGAACGAGAGAGAGAACG